CCUACGGGCGGCAGCAGUCGGGAAUCUUGCGCAAUGUAGGAAACUCUGACCCAGUGACGCCGCGUGCAUGAAGAAGGUUUUCGGAUUGUAAACUGCUUUAGUCAGGGAAGAAACAAGACCGUACCUGUAGAAUAAGCCCCGGCUAACUACGUACCAGCAUCCGCGGUAAUACGUAGGGAGCAAGAGUUAUACGGAGUUAAUGGGUGUAAAGGGUUCGUAGACGGGGAAGCAAGGUAGUUGUUGAAUCCCUGGGCUUAACUGAGGAACUGCAACUAAAACUACUUCCCUUGAGUACUGGAGAGGAGAGUGGAAUUCCUAGUGUAGCGGUGAAAUGCGUAGAUAUUAGGAGGAACACCAGUGGCGAAGGCGACUUUCUGGACAGUAACUGACGUUGAGGCACGAAAGUGUGGGGAGCAAACAGGAUUAGAUACCCGGGUAGUC
rnacentral:rRNA from 1 species